rnacentral:rRNA from 1 species
CUGGUAGUCCACGCCGUAAACGAUGUCAACUAGUUGUUCGUGUCAUUAAGACGUGAGUAACGCAGCUAACGCACUAAGUUGACCGCCUGGGGAGUACGGCCGCAAGGUUAAAACUCAAAUGAAUUGACGGGGGCCCGCACAAGCGGUGGAGCAUGUGGUUUAAUUCGAUGCAACGCGAAGAACCUUACCAUCCCUUGACAUCCAGUGAAUUUUCCAGAGAUGGAUUAGUGCCUUCGGGAACACUGAGACAGGUGCUGCAUGGCUGUCGUCAGCUCGUGUUGUGAGAUGUUGGGUUAAGUCCCGCAACGAGCGCAACCCUUAUCCUUAGUUGCCAGCACGUAAUGGUGGGAACUCUGGGGAGACUGCCGGUGAUAAACCGGAGGAAGGUGGGGACGACGUCAAGUCAUCAUGGCCCUUACGGGAUGGGCUACACACGUGCUACAAUGGCGCAUACAAAGGGCAGCAAGCCAGCGAUGGUUAGCGAAUCUCAUAAAGUGCGUCGUAGUCCGGAUCGGAGUCUGCAACUCGACUCCGUGAAGUCGGAAUCGCUAGUAAUCGUGGAUCAGAAUGCCACGGUGAAUACGUUCCCGGGCC